rnacentral:tRNA from 1 species
GUGGUUGUGGCUCAGUGGAAGAGAACUUGUCUAGCACAUGUGAGGCACUGGGUUUGAUCCUCAGCACCACG